rnacentral:tRNA from 1 species
UCCCUGGUGGUCCAGAGGUUAGGACUCCAUGCUUCCACUGCAGAGGACACAGGUUCAAUUCCUGAUUGGAGAA